CAAAGGUUUGGUCCUGACUUUUCUAUCAGCUCUAGCUAAGUUUAUACAUGCAAGUCUCCGCGCCCCUGUGAGGAUGCCCUGACCCUCCUCAACCGGAGCUAAGGAGCAGGUAUCAGGCACAGUUUAUAGCCCACGACAUCUUGUUUAGCCACACCCCCAAGGGAACUCAGCAGUGAUAAACAUUAAGCCAUAAGUGAAAACUUGACUUAACUAUUGCUAAGAGGGCCGGUAAACCUCGUGCCAGCCACCGCGGUUACACGAGGGGCUCAAGUUGACAGCCUGCGGCGUAAAGAGUGGUUAGGAUAAAAUAGUAGUAGAGCCGAACAUAGACUACGUUGUUAUACACUAACGGCAACAGGAAGCCCAAUUACGAAAGUAGCUCUAUACAACUGACGCCACGGAAGCUAGGAAACAAACUGGGAUUAGAGACCCCACUAUGCCUUGCCCCAAACAUUGAUAGUUUACCACACCCACUAUCCGCCAGGGAACUACAAGUUCCACUUGAAACCCAAAGGACUUGGCGGUGCUUCAAACCCAUCUAGAGGAGCCUGUCCUGCAACCGAUAAUCCCCGUUUAACCUUACCUUUUCUUGUUCAUCCCGCCUAUAUACCGCCGUCGCAAGCUUACCCUUUGAGGGCCUCGCAGUAAGCAAAGUUAGCAUUGACUCCAUACGUCAGGUCGAGGUGUAGCGCAUGUAAAGGAAAGAGAUGGGCUACAUUUACUAGUCUAGUAAAUUACGAAUUAUGCCUUGAAACAGGUAUAUGAAGGAGGAUUUAGUAGUAAGUAGAAAUCAGAGUGUUCUACUGAAAUUUGGCACUGAAGCGCGUACACACCGCCCGUCACUCUCCCCGAAAAAAGACCUAAUAUUAAAUUAAAAGCCUAACAACAUAAAGGGGAGGCAAGUCGUAACAUGGUAAGUGUACCGGAAGGUGCACUUGGA
rnacentral:ncRNA from 1 species